AAACUUCUGCAGCUGCUGCAGAACCAAUGUGGAGAUCCAGAGGUCUUCUGACCUUCCCUGCACCUGCCACAGCCUCUCAAGUCCAGAUCAAAACCAGAUCAAGCCAGCCUCUCUUCUGCUCUUCGCAGUGUCUCACACUCCCCAGAAAGAGCCCUUGAAGUGCGGCAUGGGAGUCAGCUAACAGAUGGAUGGAAUUUUGAGGCUAAGGUCUGGCCAAGCCAGCUGCCGAGCACUUGCUGAAACUCCACACCUGAGGAGCGCCAAAAUCAAAUCCAUCUGUGUGAAAAACCUCCAGGGGAGGAUUGGGAGUCACUCUGGAUUAAGAGGAAGUCAGAUGCAUAAACUCGAGGUGUACAUGUAUGGUGAAUACAUCACCCUCCACCACUGGGCUGAUACUGGAGAUCAAUCCUAAGGCUGGGGACAGAGCUGAAAAUGAGUAAUAGUGGAAGAAACUUCCAAGAUCAAGUUCCUAGGCAGCCGGUGCUGGGUGGAGGAUGGUUACAAAGCUGGAGAGUUGCACUGACCCAUGAGCUGAAACAGCACUGCAGGAGGAAAAAUAGUCUGGAAAAAUCAGCUGCUUGUAUGAAAUGUCUAACAGUAUCUGAUCCAGUUUCAUAAGGACUAUUAUUGUAAUCCUUUCAGGAACUCAGGGCUCCAACCCCAUUUGUUGAAAAAAUAAAGUGAUGAAAGCCGACAUGAAGCAGGAUGAUUCUCAGUCUUUCAGUAGCCAUGUAUGCCAUUAUGAAAGCAUUAUGUUAAGGGUGUGGGCGCAUUUCUUUGGGCUGAAAGCAGCUUCAGCUGACUGCUGCUCUGAUGAGGAGAUGAACCGAUAAUGUUUCACUCUCAGUAUUUCAUAUACA